rnacentral:misc_RNA from 1 species
GUGAUUUUGAAAUUUUACAAGUGACACGUUGCUGCAAGCGUUUGUUUUGAAUAUUUUAUAUAUUUUUGCAUAUUACAUGCAUUCAGUACAUUCGCAUAUUCAAAUUUCCUAUAAAUACAUAUACUUACGUAGUCGGUUCAUCGAGAAACAUAACAGUCGGAUUAUUAACCAACUCCAAAGCGAUGGAUAGCCUCUUUUUUUGCCCGCCACUUAAUUUUUCCGUUAAAGUAUCCAUAUGCUCAUAUAGACCCAAGGAAAACUUCUUAAAUAUUAUAAAUAUAAAAACAGUUAAAGUUUAAAAAACCAGGAUUCGAUAUAAAAAUCACCAAUUUUUUCCAAAUAGGUAUACAAUUAUAAUUUGAAUGAAUAAUCGAUCGAAUGUAUACUAGAAGCUUCUUGUUAUAUUUCCAUAACGAAAUUUGCCAAUGAUAGAAAUAUUUAAGAAAUUUUAGCAAUUGACCUCGAGUAUAAGCAUC